CUCAGUUCGGAUUGCAGGCUGAAACCCGCCUGCAUGAAGUUGGAAUUGCUAGUAAUCGUGGAUCAGCAUGCCACGGUGAAUACGUUCCCGGGCCUUGUACACACCGCCCGUCACACCACGAGAGUCGGGAACACCCGAAGUCCGUAGUCUAACCGUAAGGAGGGCGCGGCCGAAGGUGGGUCUGGUAAUUGGGGUGAAGUCGUAACAAGGUAGC
rnacentral:rRNA from 1 species